ACCGAAAUAGCUCAGUGGGAGAGCGUUAGACUAUAGAUCGAAAGGUCUCUGGUUCGAACCCAGGUUCCGGCA
rnacentral:tRNA from 1 species